rnacentral:lncRNA from 1 species
ACAGUGUUUCUCACACAGUAAUACACAGCCAUGUCCUCGGGCCUCAGGCUGUUCAUUUGCUGAUACAGGAAGUUCCUGGAAUUGUCUCUGGAGAUGAUGAAUCGGCCCUUCACAGAGUCUGCAUAGUGCGUCCUACUGCCAUUCCAACUAACACCCGAUACCCACUCCAGCCCCUUUCCUGGAGCCUGGCGGACCCAGUUCAUGUCACUGUUACUGAAGGUGAAUCCAGAGGCUGCACAGGAGAGUCUCAGGGACCCCCCAGGCUCUACCAAGCCUCCCCCAGACUCCACCAGCUGCACUGUUGUACCCAGAACACGAUUUGGGACGAGAAGCACGACUUAUUGACAGAGUUGGAGAUCUAGUUGAUCCCCCAGAGUAAGUGGCUAAAGUUACACAUGCCCAAUCCGGGCGGACGAACUGGUAGGUAUCUCAACAGCUAGCAUCAGGGUGAUUUUCAGGACAGAGGUAAAAGUCAACCUUUUGGAGUCCUUUUUCAGCACCUUUGGAGCUUCCACAUCUGGCUUGGCUCCCAGAGUGUCCAAAUCCUGCUGCAAGGUCGACACCUCCUGCUCCCAUGACUGGCAGGUCGCGAUGAUCUUCGUGGGUACCAGCCGGCUCCGGGAACAGUAUACACAAGUCGACUGCAAAGGUGACUUCCUUGGAGGUACCAGCCUUCCAAGUAGUAUUGGCGAAAACACGUCCUGUUGUGAGAGAGGUGAGGGGGAAGGAGUAGGAAGGCACAGAAGACAUUACAGGCAAGGAUAAACAAAAGAAGCAAAUAAAAAGAGUUAAUUUAACAGUUUCACCCGACUUAGGUGUAGUUUUAAGGGUCCUGAUCCAGGCUUGGGGACCCAUGUUUCUGUUUGGGCUUUGUUGGCCUUUUUGAUGUGGGAGUGAUGAAUCCAAGCAGGAAUUCCGUCCACCUUCAGAGCUGUUGGCGUCGUGAGGAUGACGGUGUGAGGUCCCUUCCAAGCAGGAGUUAGGCCCUCUCUCUGGAACUUUUUAACAAACACCAGGUCACUGAGCUGGAAUGAAUGGCAGGGCCCCAUCUGGUCAGGAACUGGACUGGGAUGGGCUUCUCAAACAAGUGGCAGAAUGAUCUCUUGUACCUGUUGGAGAGACUGCAGGUACUGUAAUAAAUUAGCUUGUGAUAUUUCUGCAAAAUGGGCAUCUUUUAGCUUAGGCAAGAUAGGUGGUGCCCGCCCAUAUAUAAUUUCAAAAGGUGAGAACCCAGCCUGAUAAGGGGUGCACCUUACUCUAAGUAGGGCUAAAGGAAGGAGUUUUACCCAAUUUUCACUGGUGUCUAGAAUUAAUUUUGUAAGAGUAUUUUUUAGGGUAUGGUUCAUGCAUUCCACCUGUCCAGAGCUCUGGGGUUGAUAGGCACAAUGGAGCUUCCACUGAAUGUUUAAUGCCUUACUGACUGAUUGAGCUAUGGACGAGGUGAAGGCAGGUCCAUUAUCAGACCCUAUGGCAGCAGGCAACCCGUACCAGGGGAUGAUUUCAUUGAGUAAGAACUUAACUACUGUGUUAGCUGUCUCGUUCUUGGUAGCAAAUGCCUCAGUCCAUCCGGAGAAGGUGUCUACUGAUACUAAAAGGUACUUGUACACAGCCCGGUGUGGCUUUACCUCUGUAAAGUCAAUUUCCCACUUUUCUCCUGGCGAGUUUCUUCGGAGACGGUGACCUGGGCUGGGUUUAGGACCUUGCUUGGCAUUUACCUGGGCGCAGGCUGUGCACCAGAGAACUGCUUGAUCUGUUAGGCUUUGUAGAUGAGGGAUCUUAAAACAGCUCCGGAGGAGCUGAGCUAAUUUUGUCCCACCAAAUGGGUGGUAGAAUGUAGGUGACUGACUAAAGUUUCUCCAAGAGCUGGGGGUACGAAGAUUCUAGAGUCAGGAAGAAUCCACCAACCUUUUUGAUUUUUAUUUGCUCUAAGGUUUGCAGCCAGUUUUUCUUCUUCUGUUGAGUACGCGGGGUUGUCAGGCAGAUCUGGCUGUGGAAAAGAAACUGCCGGUAGCAGGUUUAUGGACGGAGCUGAAGACAGCGCCACUUCCCGAGCUGCUGAAACCGCUUUUGGGUUACCGCGGGCAACAGCCGUGUUUUCUUUUUGAUGUCCUUUACAAUGGAUUACAGCCACUUGUUGAGGGAGCCACACAGCUUCAAGCAGGGCUAAAAUUUCCUCUUUGUUCUUAAUUAUUUUUCCUUCUGACCUGAGCAACCCGCGUUCUUAGUAGAUGGCUCCAUGUACAUGCACAGUAGCGAAAGCAUACCUGCUGUCAGUAUAAAUGUUAAUACGUUUAUCUUUAACCCAUCGGAGAGCUUGAGUAAGGGCAAUCAAUUCAGCUUUUUGUGCUGAGGUGCUUGCCGGUAAAGCCUGAACCCACAACACAUCUGUCUCUGUGGUAACAGCUGCACCAGCUUUGCGUAUCCCCUGUUCGAGAAAACUGCUGCCGUCGGUGAACACGGUGGCGUCCGCCUUUCUCAGGAGCACAUCUUGAAGAUCUGGCCUGCCAGUUUCGGUAGCUUCUAACAGCUCCUGACAGUCAUGGACAGGAGUAUUAGAAUCUGGAUCUGGGAGUAAAGUAGCAGGAUUUAAACACCUUGUGGGAGAGAAAGUCAAACAAGGCUGAUCCAACAGUAAACUCUGAUAUUGUAAAAUACGAGCAUUUGACAUCCAUUUACCUGAAGCACUUCGUAGUCAAGUCUCUACAGCAUGAGGAACUGUAAGGGUUAAAUUCUGGCCUAGAGUUAAUUUAUCAGUUUCUUGGACUAGGCUUGCUGUAGCCACUAUGGCUGGCAAACAACUUGGCCAUCCUGAGGCCACAGGAUCCACCUUCUUAGAUAAAUAAGCCACUGGGCCUCUCCAAGUUCCUAAAGUCUGAGUAAGCACUCUCUUAGCAACUCCCUGGCUCUCAUGGACAAACAGAUGAAAAGGCUUUGAGAUAUUUGGGAGGGCUAAAGCCUGGGCUGCAGUUAAAGCCUUUUUCAGAUUCUGAAAAGCCUGUUCCUCGGUGUCUGUCCAAAUCAGUGGGCCAUUACCUUUUGUAGCAGUAUACAAAGGCUUUGUAAUCUCUGCAAACCCCGAUAUCCAAAGACGACAAUAUCCCAGGGCUCCUAGGAAUUCAUGUACCUGUCUCUUGGUGGCGGGAGUGGGGAUUCGCAGGAUGGCUUCUUUCCGGGCACUAGUGAGUGCCUUUUUUCCUUUGUUUAUCUUGUACCCCAGGUAGGACACUCUGGGAAGACAAAGCUGGGCCUUUUUGGCUGAGACUCCAUACCCGAGCUCCUGAAGGAGGUAGAGCAGGUCUCUUGUGUGUUGUAGACAACCAUCCAUAGUUUCAGUUGUUAUUAAAAUGUCAUCUACAUAUUGGAGAAGAGUACAGUUAAGGUGACUGGCUCGGAAGGGUAUAAGAUCUUGCUGAAGAGCCUCUCCAAAAAGGGUAGGGGAAUUUUUAAAACCCUGAGGUAACUGAGUCCAAGUCAGUUGGGUAGUGUCUCCUGAUCUUGGAUCUGUCCAUUUGAAAGCAAAAAUCGGCUGGAUUUUGGGGGCCAGAGGGAUAGCAAAGAAAGCAUCUUUCAGGUCAAGGACAGUGUAUACUGUAUGUUCUGGUGGGAGCAGGCUGAGUAGAGUAUAGGGAUUAGGAAUGGUUGGGUGGACAGCAACAGUCCAUUUAUUAACGUCCCUUAAGUCUUGUACUGGCCAGUAAUCAUUUGUUCCAGGUUUCUGGACCGGCAAAAAUGGCGUGUUCCAGGCCGACUGGCAUGGGGGUUCAAGGAGUGAGAGCAGAGCGAAGUCUUGGAGACGCUGAACUUGCUGUUGCACUGGAAAACGAGAUGUGCGGGAUUUCCAAAAGAAGGAUGGAAGAUAGAAGAGAGAGAGAGAGGUCUGCCAGAAACCAAGGCUUAGCUCUCCAGCGUCCUGGGUCUUGAGCUAAGUCAAGGGAGGGUCCUGGUCAGGACCACUUCCCACCCAAACCAAGAUACGAAGGCGCCUACCGGAAAACGAAGGCUCAACCCACUAGCAUCCUAGAGUAAUGGGCUGAGUCAAAAGAGGGACGCCCUCGUCAGGGCCGCUCCCCUCUCACCGGAAACGAAGUCACAUCCGACCUACCUGACCCCGGGGUCAGAAGCUGAGGACUCAGCGCCCUCGUCAGGGCCGCUCCCCUCUCACCGGAAACGAAGUCACAUCCGACCUACCUGACCCCGGGGUCAGAAGCUGAGGACUCAGUGCCCUCGUCAGGGCCGCUCCCCUCUCACCGGAAACGAAGUCACAUCCGACCUACCUGACCCCGGGGUCAGAAGCUGAGGACUCAGCGCCCUCGUCAGGGCCGCUCCCCUCUCACCGGAAACGAAGUCACAUCCGACCUACCUGACCCCGGGGUCAGAAGCUGAGGACUCAGAUGUUGACUUUUAGGGCGCUGACACAGUGGUCGAUCCGCUCUCCUCUGGAAGGCGGUCACUCUUUGCAGACCUGAAAAUUCUUUCCUCAGGUGGUGUCCCUCCUCCGAGCUGGCCAUCCUUCCGGGGGAGCCCGGAGCGAGACCGGCUCUCGCCCAGUGGUGUUAAUAUCUCGCUGCGGCCUCCAAAAAUGUUGUACCCAGGCGAGUUAGAGAAAACGCCACACUUUGAGACGAAUUAAGAGUCCUUUAUUAAGCCAGCGGCCAAAGAGACGGCUAAUGCUCAAAAUUCUCUGGGCCCCGAGGAAGGGGCUUGAUUAACUUUCAUACCUAGGUUUAGGAAGGGGAGGGGAACUCAAGUGCAAUAAUUCUACGGAAGUAAAAACAUGCAAGAAUCAAAAGAAGCAAAAUGGUUACAGAGAGAUAAACAAUUUAAAAGACAAAUGGUUACAAAAAGAGCAACAGUACCAGGUGCAGGGCUCUAAAUCUUUCAUUAUAAUUAGAUAUAGGGGCUAUGCCGGGCAUGAACUCAAGGCUUUAUGUUGUUAUCUCCUUGAGAAAAAUCCUGGGAACUUCAUACAUUGUUGGUGCUAGUACCUUAUCAGUUAACUGGGCUCCUUUGAAAUGCUGAGAAUCUGUUUACACAGGUUAACUCCUUACGGAAGGGGGUUGGGUGAGGAGCCCUUAGUGUCUUGUAAAUUAAGGGGUCAAUUGGAGUUUGUCCAGCUUUCCCAGCUAGAGAGAGUCUUACUUACAUGAGAAGCAAGGCUAGGUGAUUAAAGAGACAAACAGGGAAGAUUCAAAGUAGUGAGUUAGAGUGAAAACAAGGUUAGGCAUUUCAACUGACCACAAUACUCAGACAACAGCUCCCCCGCUACCCAGGAAAAAAAAAUAGCUGGCAUUCACUACAAAGCACUAUGAUUAAAUGUGUACUACAGGUCCCAAGGCUGCAGACAACCACAGACACUGUUAUCUGGCAUAGCAUUUUAAGGGCUCAGAGUUCUCAUCAGGAGGUAACUGAGAGCCAUAAAUGAACAAUGUUUUUCAGGAAUGUGCAGGGUUUAAACAAUCCAGGUCUGCUGAGUUAACCUUCUACUGUACACAAAUCCAGAUUAGAGGGCAGCAGGGACGUUCAAUGGAUGGCCAGACUCAGGAGAGAGGGUAGAGAUGGUCAGGUUAGGACCCCAAGGAGCAGCCUGGGAGACUGUAGGAGUGAAACUGAGAACCUCCUGAGGGGCCUAUGGGUGUACAUAGCUGUGAGUUUAACUAAAGCUGUUGGGUUUCCCAGGAGCCCAAGAAAAUGGUACUACAGUGAAGGGUGUGGGGAAGUGGCCAUAAACGUCAGUGGGUGUGUGCAGGAGGGGAAGGGAGCCAAUGGAGUUAAGAAAGAGGAAAGAGACCAAGGGAUAUGGGCAUUCCUUACAGAAGCAGGUUCAGAAAUAAGCUUUCAGAUGCCUCUUGCCUGGACUUCCAUCAAUAUGUCAAAUAUAAAUUUGAGGUAUGUUUCCCAUCUGACAAAUACCACAGAGUGAGGAAAGAGCUGGAGGCGUUGCUAGGAGAGAACACCCUGGACGUGACCACAGCCCCUUUUGUCCUCACACUGCCCUGCCUGUCCUCUAUCCUCACAGCGUGGAGGUUCUCAUCUUUGCCCUGCCUGUCCUCUAUCCUCACAGCGUGGAGGUUCUCAUCUUUGUCCUGUGGUGGGAAAAACAUCUGGUUCUUGGAACACUAAGAAGACCUCCAGAAUCAUGUAGGUGAUUACGUCUACUAUAAAUCUUGCAUUUCCAAACAAGUUCUCUAUCUACUUUUCAUCAAUGUGUUCGUGAAGCUUCAGGGUAAAUGAAAUAAGGCAGUCACUAAAUAGUGAAAAAAGUCACCUAUUUACUCAUGUUCAGAUGACUCCCGGGUUUCAGAAUCAAAGAAUUGGACAGAGAAGCACAACCGUUGGUGCCCAGGACUUCUGGACACCACACAUGGAAACUGAAAUUCACAAAACACCCCUUAUAGUAAAAUGGAGAUCCUCGCUUUCAUGCAAUGUUUGAGGUCCUUUGAUCAAUUAGGAAAUACUAAAGGUUGAUUUGUUAAAGAAAAAAUGUAUAUAUGAAGACACUUGUUCCAGCACAGUAAGGAAGACUUCAUCCAGGGCCCUCAUGAUAGGUGUAGGGACCAGGGCAGUGGGAUUUUGCAGUGGGGGAGAGAUUCAGCAGAACUCCAAAUACAGAAUGAGAACGUGAGGAUUUAUAGGCAUACAGCAGGGUUGGGGCACAGGAUGGAAAAUCACCAAGAAGAAACAUCAGGAGUGAGGUAAAUCCUGCUUAGGGCAGCCUGCCAGGAUUUUUGUUGAAGUUAGACCAGGGUGAUCAGAUGUCACCCAAGUUAUGGUGAAGGACAAGGAAACUGAUCAGAUAUCCAGGAAAAUCAGACACUCAGUAUGGGGAAAACUGGCUAAAUCAACACAACAGAAUUCCAGGUAAAACUGAAUUUUAAAGGAAAGUGCAGAGAGACAGGCUUAGGAUAAGAUUCAGGAGCCUCCUAACUUCUCGUGAAGCAAAUUAGCUUCAUCAGGUUGGGACACAUAAAUGGUAGCACUUUCUGCUGACCAAACUCAUGACUAAAUGAAAUGAGAACAGUACAUCACAAAAAUGUAAACUGAACCAUAUUCAGAAUUUCUGAAGAUGAUGAGUGGCAGAAUGAGCUGAGGUGUGAUAGAUCAGGGGGUCUCCUAAUUCUGAAUCCUGCAAUUAGUUCUAAGCAGCAUUCACUGACAACAGCACAGCUCGAGAUUCCCACAUGCACAAACACCUGACUCCAUGAAUCUGCAGCCGGGGGUCUCUGCAGGCUCUGAGGUGCACAGGACAUAUCCCACCUCAGAUUCAGCCUCAGGUAAUUAUCUGCUGUUCCCGUGGGGAGGAGAGGAACAGUGUGGAAGGAGGGUCAGCUGUACUCCACUCAGGAUCUCUGUACAUGGAGGAAAACAAUGAAAGUGGGGAACACAUGUCCUCAACUUAUGUUACACUUCCACAUGAGAAAGGCAACACCAUGCCAGGACAUUCUGCAGAAUCAAAGAAUAAAGCUCUCAAGGUAAAUGUAGGAAUCACCAUUGUUUACAGACUGUAUGUUUAUUUCUAUGUCAUCCACAGAAAUUAAGUAAAAGUUGUGUUCUGUAUGGAACCCACAUCAUAUGGGUUCUGAGUCAGGUCUUCCCUCCCUCCACCUGCAGGGAGCACAGUGCACCUGAGCCAUGCGCCUGGGGCUGCACUCUGAUGUGCAUGCCACGGCUGGUGCUGGGGCCACGUCCUGUGCUCCACUCUCAGGAGAACAAUGAGCUCCGCGCUGAUCUGAGUAGAGCCACUGCUGGGAGUCACGGGGGUCCCCGAUGGGAAACUUUGACAUGACUCAGAUACAGUGACUUGCUGGACCUUCCUAGAACAGCACAGUUUAAGGAAGUUCCACUGAGUUAUCCUCCCUCUCUCCUUCACUCAGGGACCAACUUCCCUCAUAUGCCUUCAGCUUCCCCAGCCUCCUUCCACCCGCUCUGCGUUUCCUCUCAAAAGCGUGGACCGGUUCCUUAGGAAACUGUACAUAAACCUAAUCCAUUCAUAGAAUGUGCUUCUCCGAAGACCAACACUAACACAUGUGUUGGCAAAGCUGUUCAUAAU